AAGAAUAACAUAUAUAUUAAUAUUUUAAAAAGAACUACAUAAGACUGAUUAUUUUUAAAGAAUGACACUAUUUCUUGUGUUAAUGUGGAGCAGAAGAAACAACAUGUUUAUGUGAAUAAGCAGGUUGUAAAGCUGCUUGUUGGACGCUUUCCCAUAGAAAACAGAUGGCCUCAGCACUGCUGUUAGUGUUGACAAAAGAAAGACUCCCGGUUGGUUUAGGGACAGAGCUGCUGUGUUUUGAUGACACAUAGUCACACACACAAAGUUGCCCCGGUAUAACCUGAACCAAUGAGGUGUCUGACUGAUUAAAUCAACUUUCACCCCCCCCCCCAGGGCUAUUCCACAAAGAUGAUGCUUCGAGGGAAGACAGGGAGUGAGGUGACAGAAUGACGGGAUCAGGGAGGAAAGUUAGCCGUGAAGACUGGAAGCAGCUUUUGUUGCUUAUCUGGGGUAAAAAUAACAAGAAGUUUGAACAUAAAGAGAGUUCAAGAAGACCUACACACACAUCACAUCCUGUUUUUCCCCGAGUUUUCCGUCGUUCUCAUCCGUGAUAUCUUAAUGCUGCCGACUUACUGACCUGUGGUAAGUCUAACAUGUUAGUCACUGUUCUAAUGCUCAGCUCCACAUGACUCAUCUCCAUCUUUGUCUUUCAAUCUAAUUUUUUUUCUUCUUUUUCCACCCAUCUAUUGCUUUCCACCAUAAUUAUUAAGCAAGAUGAGAAUGUCAGAUGCAGUCAGUCAGGAUGCAGCGUACGACGGAAAAACCGUUUACUAUUUGUGAAGCUGGAUGGAAGUUCAUUGAGUGUGUUUUAAAAUGUUCUUCAGUGAAGUUGCGAUACAUGCGGAAACAUUUUCAAAUGACAAAACUUUUAUUUGACAGUGUUGCCCUUAAAUAAAUUUGCAACUAAAAAUGUCUUGUAAGAAUUGCAUGUGAAAUAUUAAGUAAAUAAAUACAUUUGUGAACAGAUGAUGAUAAAACACAUGUAAAUAUGGAUGUUUUUGUGUCAUAAAUCUCUUGUGGAUUUUUUAACUUUUUAGGAUUUUGUUGUGUGUUUUUAAUUGUAUAGCAGUUUGAGCUGCGAUGCAUGAAAGGCAUUUUUUAUGAAUAAAUCUGGAUUUGAUUCCAGUUUCUUCUUUACCAUCUUUGUCGUCUUCAGAUGCCGACUGUCUUCUCAGUUUGCGCGUUCCUGUAAAAGUCACAGGAAAAAAUAAUGUUAGCUGAUGGUCAGACGCAAUAUAAUUCAUUUUAUAACACAUAGAUUAUGAUUACAAAUGAAAUCCUUACCACCAGGAAGCAUCUUUUUUCACAUUGUGUUGUCUACUUUUCAUACAUUUUUAUUUUAGUUCUUAUUUCACCUCAAUGAUGAUUUCCGCUUCGUCUCAUUGACUUGAAAAUGUUUGAUUUCUUAUAUUUUAUUUUAUUUUUGUGAUCUCUUCUGGACCUGAUAGUAAAUUGCUGGAGGCUGAAGGUGCUUUAUUUAAACAAGAAAUUGACUUGUUUGACUUUCAAGUCACUAUUUGUACCUUUCAUUAGACAAAUAUGAGGAUAAAUAUGAAGGAUUCUACAGCGUCUUUCAAAUGCUGGCUUGUAUUCUUCCUAAGAAGGUUCGUCCCCAACAAUAUGUUACUUUUAACAGUUUGUGAAGUUAAUAACACUAUAUUUGUCAAGUUAUUUGAUAAAAAAUUAAUUAAGAGCAAAAACAAUAACAGCGGAAACUAUUCUAUAAAAUAAUCUUUAAAAUGAUAAAUAUUCAAGGAUUUGACAAAAAGGAGUAAUGAGCUCACGUUUCAUGUUGUUCUAUGUCUUUACCGUCACACAAAUGAGCGGUGAAGCCUGUAACUGCUAAUCUUUUACAUUCCUAUCAGAAGUGUCAGCAGUAUUUACCCACACACACUUCAGUGUUCAUCUCAUUUACUUCUGCUUAAAGAAACCCUAAUGUUAUGCAACUGAAGCGUCUAAAGCUUCAGUUUUGCUUUUCUUACAUAAAGCGAUCCAUCAGGGAUUUUGUCAGAGUUUAAUAAAUUAUUGAAUGUCAGAAAAUUAAUCAAUCAUCUGAAUUAAUUUACUGUCAGUGGGAUUUCUUCAUUGUCCAACUUUUAUUGGAGCUGCACGUCAGAUGUCAGGUUAUCAGGACUCUAUAAAGUUUGUUUGGAAUAGAAUAGAAUAGAAUAGAAUAGAAUAGAAUAGAAUAGAAUAGCCACACUAACCACACUAACACAUCUGAAAUAAAAUAAAACAAUAAAAAAA